UCCAUCUCAUCCAUCUUGUGCUCAAUAGUCAAUACAUUGGAGCUCUUUUUAUUAUCAAGGGCUUUUGUCACUGAUGAAUUACUCAGGAGGCUUCACAGGGGCUGGAGAUAGAAAAUGGAAAUCCCUUGUGAUUCUGAUGGCAAAAGCGCUUGGGGGAAAUGAGGAUGCUAUGAAGUACGAACACGAACUGGAUGCACCUAAGCGGUGGUAUUCUUCCCCUUUGUAAAGAUACAGGAUGAUACUAUCCAUCCAUUACGAUGUGGAGAAAUUGUUUGGUAACUUUUCGUCAUUAAGGCUGGAAGUUCAUAUAAAGUGAGGGAGUACAAUAUGUAUACAUCAACACGCCCCGGUUACCUGUGGCUAGCUUCUUGAGCACAAUCUUCCAUGCCUGCCUCUGUCUCUGAGAAGAUAUAGCGGUGAAACCACCGGUUAGAGGCAAAUUAUAGCCAAAACGAAGGAGACAUGACCACAAAUCUCCACUAUGUCCAAGAAAUAUAAGAGUCUCUAAAUCAUGAAAACUGUGAACUGUUGGAAUGUAGGAAAUAGACCUCGUUGCAACUUUAGAAUUUUAAGUUAUUGAAAUUCAUAGGACCUUAGUGAGUCCUGUCUCAUGAUGCUGGAUGCGGUAGAAUAACUUUAUCAGUGCGAGUUUUCUAGCCUAGAUCGUUUCGUUUAUCACUUUUGUACCAAGAAGAAGUCGUGUGUAAUAGGUUAAGAUUUGGAUCCAAAUGUUAUGAAUCAUUUGGAAAAUCACAUACUCCAUAUGUCAUGGACUUGAUUUUGAGGUGGUUCUUCAA